GACGAACGCUGGCGGCGUGCUUAACACAUGCAAGUCGAACGGAAAGGCCCUUCGGGGUCCUCGAGUGGCGAACGGGUGAGUAACACGUGGGCGAUCUGCCCUGCACUUUGUGAUAAGCCUGGGACACUGGGUCUAAUACCGAAUAGGACCACGCGCUUCAUGGUGUGUGGUGGAAAGCUUUUGCGGUGUGGGAUGGGCCCGCGGCCUAUCAGCUUGUUGGUGGGGUAAUGGCCUACAAAGGCGACGACGGGUAGCCGGCCUUAGAGGGGGACCGGGCACACUGGGACUGAGAUACGGCCCAGACUCCUACGGGAGGCAGCAGUGGGGAAUAUUGCACAAUGGGCGCAAGCCUGAUGCAGCGACGCCGCGUGAGGGAUGACGGCCUUCGGGUUGUAAACCUCUUUCAAUAGGGACGAAGCGCAAGUGACGGUACCUAUAGAAGAAGCACCGGCCAACUACGUG
rnacentral:rRNA from 1 species